rnacentral:rRNA from 1 species
AUUGAACGCUGGCGGCAGGCCUAACACAUGCAAGUCGAACGGUAGCACAGAGAGCUUGCUCUCGGGUGACGAGUGGCGGACGGGUGAGUAAUGUCUGGGAAACUGCCUGAUGGAGGGGGAUAACUACUGGAAACGGUAGCUAAUACCGCAUAACGUCGCAAGACCAAAGAGGGGGACCUUCGGGCCUCUUGCCAUCAGAUGUGCCCAGAUGGGAUUAGCUAGUAGGUGGGGUAACGGCUCACCUAGGCGACGAUCCCUAGCUGGUCUGAGAGGAUGACCAGCCACACUGGAACUGAGACACGGUCCAGACUCCUACGGGAGGCAGCAGUGGGGAAUAUUGCACAAUGGGCGCAAGCCUGAUGCAGCCAUGCCGCGUGUAUGAAGAAGGCCUUCGGGUUGUAAAGUACUUUCAGCGGGGAGGAAGGGAGUAAGGUUAAUAACCUUGCUCAUUGACGUUACCCGCAGAAGAAGCACCGGCUAACUCCGUGCCAGCAGCCGCCGUAAAAC